GGUGGCUCAGUGGUAAAGUGCUUGCCUCAUAUGCAUGAGGCCCUGAGUUCGAUUCCUCAGCACCA
rnacentral:tRNA from 1 species